rnacentral:rRNA from 1 species
UACGAAGGGGGCGAGCGUUGUUCGGAUUUACUGGGCGUAAAGAGCGCGCAGGCGGCUGGUCAAGUCCGAUGUGAAAUCUCCCGGCUUAACUGGGAAACUGCAUCGGAAACUGAUCGGCUUGAAGGUGGGAGAGGGUAGUGGAAUUCCCGGUGUAGUGGUGAAAUGCGUAGAUAUCAGGAGGAACACCAAUAGCGAAGGCAGCUCGCUGGGACGUUACUGACACUGAGGCGCGAAAGCGUGGGGAGCGAACAGG